UAGAUAUUGCUAAACUGAAAAAACAAGUUUUUGAGGCAUCUCAGGCUCAUCUCACCCUAUUGCCUGGAGCUGAUAUUCUUGCUGGAGCCUCUGAUGGCCUUUCUAAUACCAAUCCUUUAAAGUGGAUUGAAACCAUAGGUGGAUCAACAAUUGCAAAUUUUAUUUUGGUUUGUGUCUGUUUAUGUUGCUUGUUUUUAGUCUACAGAUGCAGAUGGUGCCUUGGGAGAGAAACCAGACACCAUGAAUGAGCCAUAAUAGCAAUGGCAGUUAUUAAUAAAAAAAAAUCAAUAGAGGCAAAAAAGGGGAACAUGUGGGAAAGUGUUUCUGGGGUGCCAGUUGAGUUGGUCUCCCCUGUGUGAGACACCCAUGGGAAGCCAUGGGCAGCCUCUGGGGAGAAAAGUCUCCUUAUUGCUUUCAUGUCUUUAUGCCCCAAGAGCAUAACCACUCAGCAGCAUUCCACAGGUUGCUCAGGGAGACAACACUCCCUUGAAGCAGUGGAGUAUAAUCAAACAUCUUGGCUCCUCCUUAAACCCGCUCCCACCCAUUUCAGUCCUGAUAAGCUAAAGAUCUUAAGUAGUUUAGACACACGCCUUUGCUCAAGGAAAUUCACAGAAACCGCCACUGCUACACAUCUUAUGGAAUGACUCACGAGUUCUCCUUCACUGAUUAAUCCUUUUCCUCAUCCCUUCCUCCCCCUCCCAUCUGCCCUAAGAACAAAGAGCUUGUAAACCAGUAAAUUUGGCAGAGCUCAAGAGCUCUGGGCCGUGAGCAAGCCUCCGAUAUUCUGGUCCCCUGAACCCGCCUUUUAAAUGCUUAUUCUGUCUCUUUCUAACUCCUAUGUCUCCACCAGACUCAGGGUACCCACUGGGUGGUGUGGGGCUGGUUUCCCUAACAUUCCCCACCAAAUAAAGCAGCUCCAACCUUCUAGAUGGUUGCUCAGCUCAGAAGUCUUAGAGAAAUUCUGAUGCCUCUCCUCACAUUUGCUCUGUCGGCAAAUCCUGGUGUCACAAGAGGGCUCAGGAGGGUUUCUGGAUGCCAACGAGACCCCAGCCACAGCCGGUCCCCAGAUUCUUGACAUCAUCACAAGAAAGAAUUCACAGAUGGUGCACAAGAAGGCUCUCGCCAGAUGCUGGUCUUGUGAUCUUGGACUUCCCAGCCUCCAGAACUGUUCUACUUGAAUCAUAGUUUCUUUGCUCCUGGGAGACCCCUGCUAUUCCCAGUGAUGCUGCGAACUGGGGUUCAAAGUGGGGUGGCCUGGUGAGGCCUAAAAUCCAUGUCCCGUGGAGAACUGCCUGCAUCCCUUACAGAACCUGCCACAUAUUUCUGCAGCUUCCAAGAGGAAGGCUGGAAUUUACUGAGCUUACUGAAGCCAAUUAUCCCAAGAGUAUGUGAUCCAGAAGCAAGAUAAAGAUCAAAAGGACUCAGCUGGGAUUUGGCCUUCUCCAAGUGGAAGGAAUAAAAUCUGCAAUUGGCUCUGAAAAUAAAAACCAAACAAAAUCUCAGGCAAUCAUAGACAUGGCUCUUUGCUAUUUAUGAGCUUUUCUUUCUUUCUUUUUUUUUUUAAUUUAAACAAAUGUUAAAAGAUUUUUGUGUGGACCUCAGAUUCCAGCUUUACACUGAAACUCAACAUUAGUGUCGAAGCACUUGCAGGCCAUAUGUGCUCCAGCGAGGGUUUGGGAAUGUUGGGUGGUGUUGGUGGGCACCCAUAAUUGCCACUUGCUAUCACGUGAAUGCCUUAGGCAUGACGGAUUGCCAGUGCCCCUCUGAGCAGUCACUUGGAAGCUUUGCCAAAAUAUAAAUAUGUAACAUGAACAGAGGGUGCGUGACUUUUUAACUGCAGUAGCCACCUUUCAGACACCUGAGGCUUUGGUGUCCUCAGUUCCAAAAGCCACACAGCAGCUCUUAACCUGGAGAGAGGAAGGCAC
rnacentral:lncRNA from 1 species